AAACUCUCAUUUUCCCAGCCCUUUCGAAAGAGGUGAAAGAGGCAAGAAGAGGAGGAAGAAAAAAAAACCCUGAAAAGGUUGGCUGCCAUCAGGAAGUCUGCAGACAACCCUGGCGUGCAUGUCUGAUGGAGAAGAACUCAAGAGCGAGAGGGAAUGAGUUCUCUGGGCUGUGGCACUGCCAAGGAUAUGGACAUCUCUAUGAUGACAGAGUUCUGUAUGGACUUAACAAGUUCAUCACAAAGAACUCAGAAGGAAAAAGAGGGGAAUACGGAGGUAGAAAAUUACAAGGAUUGAAAGACCAAGAGAAUGUCACAUACCGGGUCCUAUUAGCAAAAAAGAGAUUCUUCUAAAUGAAUCUGGCAGUCAGAUGGCUAACAUCAUACGGAGCCCCUAUUGAAUACUGACGCUUUUCACCAAAGUAAGAAGAGAUGGGCACCAUGCUUGAGUGCCAUGCGUCUUUUCUGCUCAUCUCCAUCAACAUGGCUGUUCUUCCCUGGGUUUUCAGAUGUGGCUACUCCAAGAUUCCUAGGUACAUAAUUAACAUCUGUAACAACUACCACUAAAUACAUAUUCACCCCCUUCUGUGCUCUGCUCACGUGCAAGUGGUCACUUCCUUUGGUCAAGAUCCAAAUUAUAGAACUAUGGAAAAGUGAGAAUUUCCGUAGGAAAUAAGGGCUGUGAUUUCAGCGUGUAAAGCCAGUGUCGAUGAGCUUGCUUGAUGCCUAUUUAUGUCUAGGACCACCCUGGCAUUUAUUAGUAUGGAAAGGAUCCCAGAAAGUAUGAGGUUGCCAGGCAACCGCACAGCAGAAAGCUGAUAUGGUGGUCACAAUCAUCCCAGCUGGAUAGGGCACUGGGCCAUCGUUCUGUUCUUAGCCUCAUCCCACCCCAUUGC